rnacentral:lncRNA from 1 species
CCCAUAUUUUGGGGUCCUUUCUCCCCAUUUUGGGGUCAUUCCUCCUCAUUUUGGGGUCAUUUCCCCUGAUUUUGUCAUUGUUCCUCCCCAUUUUGGGUCUCCCCACUUUGUUCCAGGAAGGAUUUGGGUGUCCAGGGGUCACUCCGUGGUCACUCCAUGGUCACUCUCUGGUCACUCUCUGGUCACUCCAUGGUUACUCUGGUCACUCUGUGAUCACUCUCUGGUCACUCUCUGGUCACUCCAUGGUUACUCUGGNUCUGGUCACUCUCUGGUCACUCCAUGGUUACUCUGGUCACUCUGUGAUCACUCUCUGGUCACUCUCUGGUCACUCCAUGGUUACUCUGGUCACUCCGUGGUCACUGUGCUCACUCUGUGAUCACUCUCUGGUCACUCCGUGGUCACUGUGCUCACUCUGUGAUCACUCUCUGGUCACUCUCUGGUCACUCCAUGGUCACUCUGUGAUCACUCUCUGGUCACUCUCUGGUCACUNNNNNNNNNNNNNNNNNNNNNNNNNNNNNNNNNNNNNNNNNNNNNNNNNNNNUGGUCACUGUGCUCACUCUGUGAUCACUCUCUGGUCACUCUCUGGUCACUCCAUGGUCACUCUGGUCACUCUGUGAUCACUCUCUGGUCACUCUCUGGUCACUCCGUGGUCACUCUGGUCACUCUGGGCUCGUUGCCAUCACCCCGGGGGUCACCCACUCGGGGUCACGGUGUCCACAUGUCCAGGGGUCACUUUGGGGGUCACUUUGGGGGUCACUCUGAGGUCGCCACCGUCACCCCGGUGGUCACUCUCAAUGUCCAGCAGGGUCCAGGUGUCCGGUGGUCAAUCCCAACCACUCUGGGGUCACUUUGGGGGUCACUCCCCACCACUUUGGUGGUCACUCCAUGGUCACUCUGACCUCCUUGCCACCACCCCAGCGGUCACCAGCUCAGUGUCCAGCAGGGAUCAAAUGUCCAGUGGUCACUCCCCACCACUCUGGGGUCACUUUGGGGUCAUUCCUGACCACUGUGGCCUCCUUGCCACCACCCCAGUGGUCACUCCCUCAGUGUCCAGCAGACACCCAGUGUCCAGCGGUCACUCCCAACCACUCUGGGGUCACUCUGCACCACUUUGGGGUCACUUUUCACCACUUUGGGGUCACUCUGCUCCACUUUGGGGGGGUCACUCCCCACCACUUCAGUGGUCACUCCGUGGUCACUCCCACCACCGCAGCGGUCACUCCC